GCCGCGUGUGUGAAGAAGGCCUUCGGGUUGUAAAGCACUUUCAGCGAGGAGGAAAGGUUAUUAUUUAAUAACUGCUANCUGUGACGUUACUCGCAGAAGAAGCACCGGCUAACUUCGUGCCAGCAGCCGCGGUAAUACGAGGGGUGCAAGCGUUAAUCGGAAUUACUGGGCGUAAAGCGUGCGUAGGUGGUUUGUUAAGCAAGAUGUGAAAGCCCUGGGCUCAACCUGGGAACUGCAUUUUGAACUGGCAAGCUAGAGUUUUGUAGAGGGUAGUGGAAUUUCCAGUGUAGCGGUGAAAUGCGUAGAGAUUGGAAGGAACAUCAGUGGCGAAGGCGGCUACCUGGACAAAGACUGACACUGAGGCACGAAAGCGUGGGGAGCAAACAGGAUUAGAUACCCUGGUAGUCCACGCCGUAAACGAUGUCAACUAGCCGUCUGUAGACUUG
rnacentral:rRNA from 1 species